GACGAACGCUGGCGGCGUGCCUAAUACAUGCAAGUAGGACGCAGUUGCGAACGGGUGAGUAACGCGUAGGUAACUACCUAUUAGAGGGGGAUAACUAUUGGAAACGAUAGCUAAUACCGCAUACUAGUAGAUGGACCUUCGUUGUAUUAGCUAGUAGGUAGGGUAAUGGCCUACCUAGGCAACGAUACAUAGCCGACCCGCGAGGGGGAACGGCCAACAUGGGACGGGGACCGGGCCCAGACGCCUACGGGAGGCAGCAGUAGGGAAUCUUCGGAAAUGGGGGGAACCCUGACCGAGCAACGCCGCGUGAGGGAAGAAGGUUUUCGGAUCGUAAAGCUCUGUUGUUAAGGAAGCGGUACUUAACCAGAAAGGGACGGCUAACUACGUGCCAGCAGCCGCGGUAAUAC
rnacentral:rRNA from 1 species